AUUGAACGCUGGCGGCAGGCCUAACACAUGCAAGUCGAACGAGCGGCGGACGGGUGAGUAAUGUCUGGGAAACUGCAUGAUGGAGGGGGCUAACUACUGGAAACGGUAGCUAAUACCGCAUACCCUCAGAUGUGCCCAGAUGGGAUUAGCUUGUAGUGGGGGUAACGCCUCACCAAGGCGCCAAUCCCUAGCUGGUCUGAGAGGCUGACCAGCUACACGGGAACUGAGACACGGUCCAGACUCCGACGGGAGGCAGAAGUGGGGAAUAGUGCACAAUGGGCGCAAGCCUGAUGCAGCCAUGCCGCGGGUGUGAAGAAGGCCUUCGGGUUGGAAAGUACUUUCAGCGGGGAGGCGUUACCCGCAGAAGAAGCACCGGCUAACUCCGUGCCAGCAGCCGCGGUAAUUC
rnacentral:rRNA from 1 species